GACGGGGGGGGCGAAGUGUUCUUCGGAAUGACUGGGCGUAAAGGGCACGUAGGCGGUGAAUCGGGUUGAAAGUGAAAGUCGCCAAAAAAGUGGCGGAAUGCUCUCGAAAACCAAUUCACUUGAGUGAGACAGAGGAGAGUGGAAUUUCGUGUGUAGGGGGUGAAAAUCCGUAAAUAUACGAAGGAACGCCAAAAGCGAAGGCAGCUCUCUGGGUCCCUACCGACGCUGGGGGUGC
rnacentral:rRNA from 1 species